rnacentral:rRNA from 1 species
GAUAAACGCUGGCGGCGUGCAUGAGACAUGCAAGUCGAACGGACGAUCGAGGCUUGCUUCGAUCGUUAGUGGCGGACGGCUGAGUAACGCGUAGGUGACCUGCCCCGAGUGGGGAUAACUGCCCGAAAGGGUGGCUAAUACCGCAUGUGGUGGUGUGUUCAAUCACACCAGUAAAGCCGCAAGGCGCUUCGGGAGGGGCCUGCGUCCGAUUAGCUCGUUGGUGGGGAACGGCUCACCAAGGCGACGAUCGGUAGGUGGUCUGAGAGGACGAUCACCCAGACUGGGACUGAGACACGGCCCAGACUCCUACGGGAGGCAGCAGUCGGGAAUUUUGCGCAAUGGACGAAAGUCUGACGCAGCAACGCCGCGUGAGGGAUGACGGCCU